rnacentral:rRNA from 1 species
AUUGAACGCUGGCGGCAGGCCUAACACAUGCAAGUCGAGCGAGCGGCGGACGGGUGAGUAAUGUCUGGGAAACUGCCUGAUGGAGGGGGAUAACUACUGGAAACGGUAGCUAAUACCGCAUACCAUCAGAUGUGCCCAGAUGGGAUUCGCUAGUAGGUGGGGUAACGGCUCACCUAGGCGACGAUCCCUAGCUGGGCUGAGAGGAUGACCAGCCACCCUGGAACUGUGACACGGUCCAGCCGCCUACGGGAGGCAGCAGUGGGGAAUAGUGGACAAUGGGCGCAAGCCGGAUGGAGCCAUGCAGCGUGUGUGAAGAAGGCCUGCGGGUUGUAAAGCACUUACAGCGUGGAGGCGUUACCCGCAGAAGAAGCACCGGCUAACUCCGUGCCAACAGCCGCGGUAAUUC